ACGUAGGUGGCAAGCGUUGUCCGGAAUUACUGGGUGUAAAGGGAGCGCAGGCGGGCUUGUAAGUUGGAUGUUUAAUGGAGGGGCUCAACCCCUUCUCGCAUUCAAAACUGCAAGUCUUGAGUGGUGCAGAGGCAGGCGGAAUUCCCGGUGUAGCGGUGGAAUGCGUAGAUAUCGGGAGGAACACCAGUGGCGAAGGCGGCCUGCUGGGCACUAACUGACGCUGAGGCUCGAAAGCAUGGGUAGCAAACAGG
rnacentral:rRNA from 1 species